GACGAACGCUGGCGGCGUGCUUAACACAUGCAAGUCGAACGGAAAGGCCCUGCUUUUGUGGGGUGCUCGAGUGGCGAACGGGUGAGUAACACGUGAGUAACCUGCCCUUGACUUUGGGAUAACUUCAGGAAACUGGGGCUAUAACCGAUUAGAACUUCUUGAGCCUUGUGGGGGGUGGGAAAUUUUCGGCGGUUGGGGAUGGACUCGCGGCUUAUCAGCUUGUUGGUGGGGUAGUGGCUUACCAAGGCUUUGACGGGUAGCCGGCCUGAGAGGGUGACCGGCCACAUUGGGACUGAGAUACGGCCCAGACUCCUACGGGAGGCAGCAGUGGGGAAUAUUGCACAAUGGGCGGAAGCCUGAUGCAGCAACGCCGCGUGCGGGAUGACGGCCUUCGGGUUGUAAACCGCUUUCGCCUGUGACGAAGCGUGAGUGACGGUAAUGGGUAAAGAAGCACCGGCUAACUACGUG
rnacentral:rRNA from 1 species